AUCACCCCUGCAGUCCAGUGGAUCCCUAUUCCCAAGGAGGACCUUCUUCAAAUUCAAGCUAGGUCUCCCCUUAUUCCACACAAGAACACUGUGCCCUUGUAUCCUCUUCACUGCAAGUGAGCAUUCAAAUUCUGAGGCAGUGUUGGCAGCCCAGGGAAGCCAUGGUGCUGGUGAAAUUACAUUAUUGACAGUUGUGUCCUGCCUGUGUCUGGGUCAAUGAUGACAACAGAAAGUCAA
rnacentral:sRNA from 1 species